rnacentral:tRNA from 4 species
GGACACUUAGCUCAGCCGGUUAGAGCACUUCGUUUACAUCGAAGGGGUCGGGGGUUCGAGUCCCUCAGUGUCCA